GGUUAAGCGACUAAGCGUACACGGUGGAUGCCCUGGCAGUCAGAGGCGAUGAAGGACGUGCUAAUCUGCGAUAAGCGUCGGUAAGGUGAUAUGAACCGUUAUAACCGGCGAUUUCCGAAUGGGGAAACCCAGUGUGUUUCGACACACUAUCAUUAACUGAAUCCAUAGGUUAAUGAGGCGAACCGGGGGAACUGAAACAUCUAAGUACCCCGAGGAAAAGAAAUCAACCGAGAUUCCCCCAGUAGCGGCGAGCGAACGGGGAGCAGCCCAGAGCCUGAAUCAGUGUGUGUGUUAGUGGAAGCGUCUGGAAAGGCGCGCGAUACAGGGUGACAGCCCCGUACACAAAAAUGCACAUGCUGUGAGCUCGAUGAGUAGGGCGGGACACGUGGUAUCCUGUCUGAAUAUGGGGGGACCAUCCUCCAAGGCUAAAUACUCCUGACUGACCGAUAGUGAACCAGUACCGUGAGGGAAAGGCGAAAAGAACCCCGGCGAGGGGAGUGAAAAAGAACCUGAAACCGUGUACGUACAAGCAGUGGGAGCCUCUUUUAUGGGGUGACUGCGUACCUUUUGUAUAAUGGGUCAGCGACUUAUAUUCUGUAGCAAGGUUAACCGAAUAGGGGAGCCGAAGGGAAACCGAGUCUUAACUGGGCGUUAAGUUGCAGGGUAUAGACCCGAAACCCGGUGAUCUAGCCAUGGGCAGGUUGAAGGUUGGGUAACACUAACUGGAGGACCGAACCGACUAAUGUUGAAAAAUUAGCGGAUGACUUGUGGCUGGGGGUGAAAGGCCAAUCAAACCGGGAGAUAGCUGGUUCUCCCCGAAAGCUAUUUAGGUAGCGCCUCGUGAAUUCAUCUCCGGGGGUAGAGCACUGUUUCGGCAAGGGGGUCAUCCCGACUUACCAACCCGAUGCAAACUGCGAAUACCGGAGAAUGUUAUCACGGGAGACACACGGCGGGUGCUAACGUCCGUCGUGAAGAGGGAAACAACCCAGACCGCCAGCUAAGGUCCCAAAGUCAUGGUUAAGUGGGAAACGAUGUGGGAAGGCCCAGACAGCCAGGAUGUUGGCUUAGAAGCAGCCAUCAUUUAAAGAAAGCGUAAUAGCUCACUGGUCGAGUCGGCCUGCGCGGAAGAUGUAACGGGGCUAAACCAUGCACCGAAGCUGCGGCAGCGACGCUUAUGCGUUGUUGGGUAGGGGAGCGUUCUGUAAGCCUGUGAAGGUGUACUGUGAGGUAUGCUGGAGGUAUCAGAAGUGCGAAUGCUGACAUAAGUAACGAUAAAGCGGGUGAAAAGCCCGCUCGCCGGAAGACCAAGGGUUCCUGUCCAACGUUAAUCGGGGCAGGGUGAGUCGACCCCUAAGGCGAGGCCGAAAGGCGUAGUCGAUGGGAAACAGGUUAAUAUUCCUGUACUUGGUGUUACUGCGAAGGGGGGACGGAGAAGGCUAUGUUGGCCGGGCGACGGUUGUCCCGGUUUAAGCGUGUAGGCUGGUUUUCCAGGCAAAUCCGGAAAAUCAAGGCUGAGGCGUGAUGACGAGGCACUACGGUGCUGAAGCAACAAAUGCCCUGCUUCCAGGAAAAGCCUCUAAGCAUCAGGUAACAUCAAAUCGUACCCCAAACCGACACAGGUGGUCAGGUAGAGAAUACCAAGGCGCUUGAGAGAACUCGGGUGAAGGAACUAGGCAAAAUGGUGCCGUAACUUCGGGAGAAGGCACGCUGAUAUGUAGGUGAAGUCCCUCGCGGAUGGAGCUGAAAUCAGUCGAAGAUACCAGCUGGCUGCAACUGUUUAUUAAAAACACAGCACUGUGCAAACACGAAAGUGGACGUAUACGGUGUGACGCCUGCCCGGUGCCGGAAGGUUAAUUGAUGGGGUCAGCGCAAGCGAAGCUCUUGAUCGAAGCCCCGGUAAACGGCGGCCGUAACUAUAACGGUCCUAAGGUAGCGAAAUUCCUUGUCGGGUAAGUUCCGACCUGCACGAAUGGCGUAAUGAUGGCCAGGCUGUCUCCACCCGAGACUCAGUGAAAUUGAACUCGCUGUGAAGAUGCAGUGUACCCGCGGCAAGACGGAAAGACCCCGUGAACCUUUACUAUAGCUUGACACUGAACAUUGAGCCUUGAUGUGUAGGAUAGGUGGGAGGCUUUGAAGUGUGGACGCCAGUCUGCAUGGAGCCGACCUUGAAAUACCACCCUUUAAUGUUUGAUGUUCUAACGUGGACCCGUGAUCCGGGUUGCGGACAGUGUCUGGUGGGUAGUUUGACUGGGGCGGUCUCCUCCUAAAGAGUAACGGAGGAGCACGAAGGUUGGCUAAUCCUGGUCGGACAUCAGGAGGUUAGUGCAAUGGCAUAAGCCAGCUUGACUGCGAGCGUGACGGCGCGAGCAGGUGCGAAAGCAGGUCAUAGUGAUCCGGUGGUUCUGAAUGGAAGGGCCAUCGCUCAACGGAUAAAAGGUACUCCGGGGAUAACAGGCUGAUACCGCCCAAGAGUUCAUAUCGACGGCGGUGUUUGGCACCUCGAUGUCGGCUCAUCACAUCCUGGGGCUGAAGUAGGUCCCAAGGGUAUGGCUGUUCGCCAUUUAAAGUGGUACGCGAGCUGGGUUUAGAACGUCGUGAGACAGUUCGGUCCCUAUCUGCCGUGGGCGCUGGAGAACUGAGGGGGGCUGCUCCUAGUACGAGAGGACCGGAGUGGACGCAUCACUGGUGUUCGGGUUGUCAUGCCAAUGGCACUGCCCGGUAGCUAAAUGCGGAAGAGAUAAGUGCUGAAAGCAUCUAAGCACGAAACUUGCCCCGAGAUGAGUUCUCCCUGACUCCUUGAGAGUCCUGAAGGAACGUUGAAGACGACGACGUUGAUAGGCCGGGUGUGUAAGCGCAGCGAUGCGUUGAGCUAACCGGUACUAAUGAACCGUGAGGCUUAACCUU
rnacentral:rRNA from 1 species